rfam:Brassica oleracea var. oleracea cultivar TO1000 chromosome C8, whole genome shotgun sequence
GGAAUAUAAGAACAUGUCUCUUAACUUUUAACUAAAAAAGUUAAGAACCGGUUUUUAAAAAACUUAUUUAAGAGCCGGUUCUUUGCUUUUUUAGUUAAAAGUUAAGAGACGGGUUCUUAUAUUCC